UAGGGAAUAUUGGUCAAUGGAUGCAAGUCUGAACCAGCCAUGCCGCGUGCAGGAAGAAGGCCUUAUGGGUUGUAAACUGCUUUUGCCAGGGGAUAAAACGAGCUUGCGAGCUUAAUUGAAGGUACCUGGUGAAUAAGCCACGGCUAACUACGUGCCAGCAGCCGCGGUAAUACGUAGGUGGCAAGCGUUGUCCGGAUUUAUUGGGUUUAAAGGGUGCGUAGGCGGUCUUUUAAGUCAGUGCUGAAAUACUCCAGCUUAACUGGAGGGGUGGCAUUGAUACUGGGAGACUUGAGUAUAGUUGAGGUAGGCGGAAUUGACGGUGUAGCGGUGAAAUGCUUAGAUAUCGUCAAGAACACCGAUAGUGAAGACAGCUUACUAAACUAUAACUGACGCUGAGGCA
rnacentral:rRNA from 1 species